GGGACACGUGGUAUCCUGUCUGAAUAUGGGGGGACCAUCCUCCAAGGCUAAAUACUCCUGACUGACCGAUAGUGAACCAGUACCGUGAGGGAAAGGCGAAAAGAACCCCGGCGAGGGGAGUGAAAAAGAACCUGAAACCGUGUACGUACAAGCAGUGGGAGCACAGGUUUACCUGUGUGACUGCGUACCUUUUGUAUAAUGGGUCAGCGACUUAUAUUCUGUAGCAAGGUUAACCGAAUAGGGGAGCCGGAGGGAAACCGAGUCUUAAUUGGGCGUUAAGUUGCAGGGUAUAGACCCGAAACCCGGUGAUCUAGCCAUGGGCAGGUUGAAGGUUGGGUAACACUAACUGGAGGACCGAACCGACUAAUGUUGAAAAAUUAGCGGAUGACCUGUGGCUGGGGGUGAAAGGCCAAUCAAACCGGGAGAUAGCUGGUUCUCCCCGAAAGCUAUUUAGGUAGCGCCUCGUGAACUCAUCUCCGGGGGUAGAGCACUGUUUCGGCUAGGGGGCCAUCCCGGCUUACCAACCCGAUGCAAACUGCGAAUACCGGAGAAUGUUAUCACGGGAGACACACGGCGGGUGCUAACGUCCGUCGUGAAGAGGGAAACAACCCAGACCGCCAGCUAAGGUCCCAAAGUCAUGGUUAAGUGGGAAACGAUGUGGGAAGGCCCAGACAGCCAGGAUGUUGGCUUAGAAGCAGCCAUCAUUUAAAGAAAGCGUAAUAGCUCACUGGUCGAGUCGGCCUGCGCGGAAGAUGUAACGGGGCUAAACCAUGCACCGAAGCUGCGGCAGCGA
rnacentral:rRNA from 1 species